rnacentral:rRNA from 1 species
UACUCCUACGGGAGGCAGCAGUAGGGAAUAUUGGACAAUGGGGGCAACCCUGAUCCAGCCAUGCCGCGUGCAGGAAGACGGUCCUCUGGAUUGUAAACUGCUUUUAUCGGGGAAUAAGCCUGGUCUAUACGGCCAGCUGAAGGUACCCGAAGAAUAAGCACCGGCUAACUCCGUGCCAGCAGCCGCGGUAAUACGGAGGGUGCAAGCGUUGUCCGGAUUUAUUGGGUUUAAAGGGUACGCAGGCGGGUUUUCAAGUCAGUGGUGAAAUCCUACGGCUCAACCGUAGAACUGCCAUUGAUACUGUUGACCUUGAGUAUAUCUGAGGUGGUUGGAAUGUGUAGUGUAGCGGUGAAAUGCAUAGAGAUUACGCAGAACACCGAUUGCGAAGGCAGAUCACUAAGGUAUAACUGACGCUGAGGUACGAAAGCGUGGGGAGCGAACAGGAUUAGAUACCCUGGUAGUCCACGCUGUAAACGAUGGUUACUAGGUGUUCGGAAGCAAUUCUGAGUGCCCAAGCGAAAGCGAUAAGUAACCCACUUGGGGAGUACGUCCGCAAGGAUGAAACUCAAAGGAAUUGACGGAAUCACGAAUUCU